rnacentral:pre_miRNA from 12 species
CUUGAGUUGUGCAAAAGUGCUUACAGUGCAGGUAGAGGUUAGGAUCUACUGCAGUAUAAGCACUUCUGGCAUUACUGUGG